UAUCAUGUUGAACAGAUUGUUGGUGCCAGUAACUGUCCACAAUACGUUCAACGCGGUGCU
rnacentral:pre_miRNA from 1 species